GGCCCACGGGCCGAGAAAGCGGGCGUGGGUGGCCCACUAGCUGUGGGCGGUCGGGGCAUUAUAAGUGGUAUCAGAGCUGGUUAGCCAUUUCAGUUCUGACCUGAGAGGCGUCUUGAGACCUAUCGUGGAGCGCAACGAGGACAUUGCGUUCUUUGAGAGGGGGUGAAUUGUAACAUCCCGAGUUGUGAUAUGUGAAAAUGCUUAAGAGAAUUGAUUUGGCUACCUAUGUCACCAAAGUUGACUUACCUUUUCUGGAGCACAUCCUGAACAUAUUCGGUGGUGUUUUGGCCUGUUAGUGGACAGCGAGUGUGCACCUCGCUAGGACUGUUCUGUGAUCUUUGGGUACUUUAGGUACCGUGUUUGCAACAUGUUAGGAUUAAAUUAUAUUUAUUCGGAGUGCUCUGUCCGGGUCCAUGGACUUCGGGUUUAGUAUCCCAUACCUCACUGAGUGACUUCCCCGUUACUCACCCCUCUCUCUUCCCCAUUUCAGGUGAGACUGACGAGUAUAUGAUAUUUGGACGGAUUGGUGCUACUGAGCUUUUUAUUCGGAUUUUUAUUUGGGCUUUGGGUGAGUGUAAUUGGAUAUAUGGACUUUUAUUAUACGAGAUAUUGUUGGUUGCCCGCUGUUCUCCGGAUUGGAGAUGACGGGUGUCACAGCAAGCUUGGGAGAGAAGUAAGCGUUGGCAAGUUUGGGAGAGAAGUAAGCAUUCUAUUAAGAAUGGAAAGAAAAUGAUCAAAACCAAUAAGAGAUAUUAAUCAACUUGGACUCAAAAAAAUAUUUCAUAAUGGAAACCCUAAUUAAAGCUACCUCUUGUUCAAGUAAGGCGUAUAAGGUGAGUGAAUUCUUGGACGACAAGGAUGACAAGUUAGGUAUAAAUGCGAACGCAAUUGUUUGAUGUCGAAUGAAUAACGCGAAUGCACCAUCUUGAGAAAGAGAUUUGUCUUCUUUUAUCUCAGCCAAAUAAACCCUGACCUAUUUCUUUCUUUCAGUUUAUAUAUAGAUAGGUUUUUUUAUAUAGAUAGGUUUAAUUGUGUGAUAAUAUUAAAUAAUAUCUUUGCUAACUACUCUACCUAGAAACUAGUCGUAUUUUAAAUGAUUAUAGGCGAGAUUAUCAAAUGAAAAUUUCCUUGGUAAAAUCUAAACAGAGUAAAUAUUCUUCCAAGAAUAAUUUACUAAAAUAUCCGAAGAAAAAUCUAUAAACGAGAAUUUAUCGCCAAAACUACUAAUUUUUACGGACCCUUUGGCUGAUCCGGUUAACUUCGGAAAAAAACACACUUAAUGCUACAUAAAGGAUUGACCAUCACAUUGCAUCAUCCGAGUUUGGAGUGCCUUUUGACAAAUGCCAGAAGUGGACCGUUUAUUGUUCACAAUGUUAACCAUCUGAGCCGAAGCCCAAACCCAAACUAACUAAAUAAUGAUAAUUUAGUUCGCAGGGGGAAUCGAACUCAGAACCAACAUGAAUACAUGCUAAGCCCAAAAAAAUGACACUAAAGUACUACCACUUGACUUAGAAAAAAAAACUACUCGUGAUGAAACUGAUGGAAGCCGAAUAUGUCCACUAGAGAGUUGAUUUUAGGUAUUAACAUAUACAAAGAGUCCAUUAAUUUUCUUUGGAAAUACAUGUUCAGGCAAUACUAUAGUUUCUCCCUAAUCACUCAACAUGGUUCGAAUUAUUUUGCUUUUAUUCAUAAGUUUCAUCCCCUUAACUUUUACUUACACAAGCAAAGAUUAUGUAAUUUAUGGACUAAACCAUACGUGUCACACGUGCGUGUCCUUUGGUAUCCCACCUUCUCUUUGCUGAUGAUAACCUUUUCUUCUGUAAGGCGGAGCCCCGUGAAUGUGAAGAAGUAAUGAAAGUAGUCAGGAAGUAUGGUAAAGCAUCAGGUCAAUGUAUCAACUUUGAUAAAUCGUCCUUACUCUUUGGUAAGCGGAUUAAUGCAACUAGUAGACAAGAGAUUAAAGAUGCACUUGUAAUACAAAACGAAGGAGGAAUGGGGACUUAGGUAUCCCGGAAGACAUAAGUGUUUUCAAGUGCAAAAUUUUUGCAUUUCUCAAGGAUAAGUUAAUGCAUAGAGUGAAUGGAUGGACAUGUAGAUGGCUAUCAAAAGGAGGGAAGGAAGUGUUGGUUAAAUCCAUUUUGUUUGCUCUUUCGACUUACGUUAUGUCUACUUUCCUGCUCCCGUUGGAGAUAUGUGAAAACCUAGCAAGGGCCAUUGCUCAAUUCUGGGGGAGUUCAAAUCCAUUAUGAAGAGAAAUACACUGGGAGAAAUGGGGAAAUGUCUGCCUACCAAGAGAGGAGGGUGAGAUUGGUUUUCUUUUGAUCCAUGAUUUUAAUCUGGCUCUAUUGGCGAAACAACUAUGGAGGCUUGUUCAAUUCCCUGACUCUUUGGUUGCCCGGGUAUUGAGGGGAAGAUACUAUAGACUAAGUUUACCACUAAGAGUAAACUCUGCUAGCAGUCCAUCUUAUGUGUGGACUAGCAUUUCUGUUGCAAGGAAGUUGUUGUUAUUGGGAAUCUGACAGAAGAUACAUUCAGGUUAUGAAGUCAAGGUGUGGGAGGAUCUGUGGAUCCCAACGACCCCUGUGAGACCAGCUAUUCCUGCGGCGCCAGUUAUGCAUCCCAAUAUGAGAGUUAGCGAUCUCAUUAAUCAGGUAUCGAACAUGCCUCGAGCCGUCCCCAAGGUAUGGAUGGCUUCAGAUAUGGACGGCUUCAGAUAUGUUUUCCGGAUUUCAACAUCAUUCAUAUUUUAAGAGCGCGCAAUCAGAUUUGAGACUUUUUAGCUAAGACUACUAGAUCUUUCUAUAGGGAAUUAUUUUUUAUUGGUUGUUCUAUUCUGGCCUGGUUACCCAGACCACCUCAAGUUUGAGUUUUAGAAUGACCUUUUGACGUCAAAAAAAAAAAACCCCCAAAAUAUGUAAAUCAUAUUUUCCAGUGUAUAAAUAACCAUCUAACCAGGUUCAUUUCAAGAUAGUUAUUUCAUCAGAUAGUUAAAACCCUCUUUUACAGUUCCUGUUCUGGAUUUGGGUCUUCAUAACUAUAGGAACCAAGAAUAAUCACAAUUAAUCUACUAUAACAAUAAUAGUUAUAAUAAUAAUAAUCGUCAGUCUAUUGAUGUAAAUAUAAGUAACAAGUUGGAUAAGAAACGUGAAAAUCUGUUUUUUUGGUCUAAAUGUGAAAUGUGAAAAUCUGUUAUCCAUUGAUGAAGAUGAUGAGUGUUAAUUACGCCGUGUAUAUAUACAUUUGAGAAAACCAACUCUAUGCCAUUGUAAACCAUCCAGUAAUUUAUAAUUAAUAUGUUUAAUGAUUCUUAAAUUAGUGUAAAACAAUUUAACUGUACAUUAAAACUGCUCCUUCAAGAUGGAGAUAGAUUUUUCCUCAAAAAAAAGAGAGAUGGAGAUAGAUGGUUUUUGCCAGAACAUAUGCAACGUGAUGUUCAGUUUUGACAAACAUGAUUUUCAUAAAACCUUCUUCAAGUUGCUUCCCGCAUGACAAUAGUUUAUUUAAGUGAACCCAUAAAAAGACAAUAAGUAAGAAUUUUGUGGGACGUUAUUGUGAGCAAUUAAACCUAUCUUGAUCCUCAGUUUUUGUUUUGGCGUUGAGCCUGCAUUAAAAAAAAUUGAACAAAGUCAUCACUAAUCAAUAUAUACUAAUCUUUAUAUCUUUAUAUAUAUAAUAGGUUUUGCUUCUCUCCCAGGGUGUCCACCUCAGCUGCCCGCACAUAAAUUCGAGCUCUAUGGUGUCAACACGUGUCCUGAAAAUACAAAACGCAACACUUCAUCGAGGCUUCUUCGCUGCACAGCGUUUCAUUUAAUCGUUUUUUUAUGUUUGUUGGGCUUAUUCAUUUGCCCGUGUAUCUUUUACAUUUAUAUCCCAAUGGGCCCGGUGGACCAUUAUCGAUCGUCAACCCUAAUUGUUCUUACGGGAGGAAUCUAGGAUCAGGUUCAUCUCUCAUUCUCUCUCCUCUUCUGUUCUGCUUCCCCGAUCUCUGAAACGGCCGAUGGCUUCUGUGAUUAAUUCCAUAAACUCGAUCGGCCACGAUGGGGUCUCUUAAAUGUGUGGUUCACGUCGGCAGGGCGGUGUGUGUUUACGGUAUAAUAAAUAUGUCAGUACUUCAGCUCUUUGAAUCAUCUUUUCUCUCAUCUCUUUUAGUACCAGAUGUUAUAGAAGUUACUGCAGUAAAAAUUAUUGGUGAAGCGGCCUUACGACCACUGCCGUUCAGUGUGAAGCGGACUUCGUCGGAAGUGUAUGGCGAAGAUUAUCUUGGAGGAGAUGGAGUUGAGAUGAGGAUGAGAGCUCCUACUUUUCUUUGAAGAAAUUGAUCGACAACUCAAGACUAUUACUCGGUUAGCGCCGGUGCUCAUGUCGAAGGAGCUUUCGUGAUGUUUGGUAUGUUCACCGGCGGCGUUAAAGAAGUUCUAUUUUUCGGCACCGUUUGUGACUUAUGUGUUAUCCCGAGUUUGUAACACGUGUUUAAAGAGGUGGCUUCAUUUUGCUAAGCCUUAUCAACUUCUGAUGGGUUUCUUUUAGGCGUACGUAGUUGGGUUUCAACAUCACCAUUUGUAAUCGAAAAGGCGACAAAAACGUAUAUCUUCUCACCUUAAUGCAGUGCCCGACUAUUCUCUCU